GCACCUGUAGCUCAGUUGGAUAGAGCAACGGUUUCCUAAACCGCAGGCCGGAGGUUCAAGUCCUCUCAGGUGCGCCA
rnacentral:tRNA from 1 species